rnacentral:rRNA from 1 species
GUAGGGAAUAUUGGGCAAUGGAGGCAACUCUGACCCAGCCAUGCCGCGUGCAGGAAGACGGUCCUCUGGAUUGUAAACUGCUUUUGAAUGGGAAGAACAUACGGUUUGCGAACCGUACUGACGGUACUAUUAGAAUAAGCACCGGCUAACUCCGUGCCAGCAGCCGCGGUAAUACGGAGGGUGCAAGCGUUAUCCGGAUUUAUUGGGUUUAAAGGGUGCGUAGGCGGCCUUAUAAGUCGGUGGUUAAAGGUAGCAGCUUAACUGUUUUACAUGCCAUCGAUACUGUAGGGCUUGAGUGAUUUGGAGGUAGCUAGAAUUCCCUGUGUAGCGGUGAAAUGCAUAGAUACGGGGAGGAAUACCGAUUGCGAAGGCAUGUUACUACGAAUUAACUGACGCUGAGGCACGAAAGCGUGGGGAUCAAACAGGAUUAGAUACCCGUGUAGUCC